AACUCAUGAUUAGGACACUUCCUCAAAUAUUCCUUAAACCUCUCCCAAGCUUCAUAAAAGGUCUCCCCAUCAUAUUGCUUGAAUUCAGUAUUAUUGUUCCUCAUUU
rfam:Ricinus communis cultivar Hale ctg_1100012359831, whole genome shotgun sequence.